CCUGGCUCAGGAUGAACGCUGGCGGCGUGCCUAAUACAUGCAAGUCGAGCGAAUGGAUUAAGAGCUUGCUCUUAUGAAGUUAGCGGCGGACGGGUGAGUAACACGUGGGUAACCUGCCCAUAAGACUGGGAUAACUCCGGGAAACCGGGGCUAAUACCGGAUAACAUUUUGAACCGCAUGGUUCGAAAUUGAAAGGCGGCUUCGGCUGUCACUUAUGGAUGGACCCGCGUCGCAUUAGCUAGUUGGUGAGGUAACGGCUCACCAAGGCAACGAUGCGUAGCCGACCUGAGAGGGUGAUCGGCCACACUGGGACUGAGACACGGCCCAGACUCCUACGGGAGGCAGCAGUAGGGAAUCUUCCGCAAUGGACGAAAGUCUGACGGAGCAACGCCGCGUGAGUGAUGAAGGCUUUCGGGUCGUAAAACUCUGUUGUUAGGGAAGAACAAGUCACUAGUUGAAUAAGCUGGCACCUUGACGGUACCUAACC
rnacentral:rRNA from 1 species